rnacentral:rRNA from 1 species
GAUGAACGCUGGCGGCGUGCUUAACACAUGCAAGUCGAACGAUGAAGCCCAGCUUGCUGGGUGGAUUAGUGGCGAACGGGUGAGUAACACGUGAGUAACCUGCCCUUGACUCUGGGAUAAGCCUGGGAAACUGGGUCUAAUACUGGAUAUGACUUCUCAUCGCAUGGUGGGGGGUGGAAAGAUUUAUUGGUCUUGGAUGGACUCGCGGCCUAUCAGCUUGUUGGUGAGGUAAUGGCUCACCAAGGCGACGACGGGUAGCCGGCCUGAGAGGGUGACCGGCCACACUGGGACUGAGACACGGCCCAGACUCCUACGGGAGGCAGCAGUGGGGAAUAUUGCACAAUGGGCGCAAGCCUGAUGCAGCGACGCCGCGUGAGGGAUGACGGCCCUCGGGGUGUAAACCUCUUUCAGUAGGNAAGAAGCGAGAGUGACGGUACCUGCAGAAGAAGCGCCGGCUAACUACGUGCCAGCAGCCGCGGUAAUACUUAGGGCGCGAGCGGUAUCCGGAUUAUUGGGCGUAAAGAGCUCGUAGCGGUUUGUCGCGUCUGCCGUGAAAGUCCGGGGCUUAACUCCGGAUCUGCGGUGGGUACGGGCAGACUAGAGUGCAGUAGGGGAGACUGGAAUUCCUGGUGUAGCGGUGAAAUGCGCAGAUAUCAGGAGGAACACCGAUGGCGAAGGCAGGUCUCUGGGCUGUAACUGACGCUGAGGAGCGAAAGCAUGGGGAGCGAACAGGAUUAGAUACCCUGGUAGUCCAUGCCGUAAACGUUGGGCACUAGGUGUGGGGGACAUUCCACGUUUUCCGCGCCGUAGCUAACGCAUUAAGUGCCCCGCCUGGGGAGUACGGCCGCAAGGCUAAAACUCAAAGGAAUUGACGGGGGCCCACACAAGCGGCGGAGCAUGCGGAUUAAUUCGAUGCAACGCGAAGAACCUUACCAAGGCUUGACAUGUUCCUGAUCGCCGUAGAGAUACGGUUUCCCCUUUGGGGCAGGUUCACAGGUGGUGCAUGGUUGUCGUCAGCUCGUGUCGUGAGAUGUUGGGUUAAGUCCCGCAACGAGCGCAACCCUCGUUCCAUGUUGCCAGCACUUCGGGUGGGGACUCAUGGGAGACUGCCGGGGUCAACUCGGAGGAAGGUGGGGACGACGUCAAAUCAUCAUGCCCCUUAUGUCUUGGGCUUCACGCAUGCUACAAUGGCCGGUACAAUGGGUUGCGAUACUGUGAGGUGGAGCUAAUCCCAAAAAGCCGGUCUCAGUUCGGAUUGGGGUCUGCAACUCGACCCCAUGAAGUCGGAGUCGCUAGUAAUCGCAGAUCAGCAACGCUGCGGCGAAUACGUUCCCGGGCCU